UACGGAGGGUGCAAGCGUUAAUCGGAAUUACUGGGCGUAAAGCGCACGCAGGUGGCUGAGUCAGUCGAUUGUGAAAGCCCUGGGCUUAACCUGGGAAUUGCAGUCGAUACUACUCAGCUAGAGUAUGGGAGAGGGCAGUGGAAUUCCCGGUGUAGCGGUGAAAUGCGUAGAUAUCGGGAGGAACAUCAGUGGCGAAGGGCGGCUG
rnacentral:rRNA from 1 species